rnacentral:rRNA from 1 species
UACGUAGGGUGCGAGCGUUAAUCGGAAUUACUGGGCGUAAAGCGUGCGCAGGCGGUUUUGUAAGCCAGAUGUGAAAUCUCCAAGCUCAACUUGGAAAUGGCAUCGGAUACUAUUCGGCUCGAGGAAUGGAGGGGAGACUGGAAUACUUGGUGUAGCAGUGAAAUGCGUAGAUAUCAAGUGGAACACCAGUGGCGAAGGCGAGUCUCUGGACAUUUCCUGACGCUGAGGCACGAAAGCCAGGAGAGCAAACGGG